GGCACGCCUUAUACAUGCAAGUCGAACGAAGUAGCAAUACUUAGUGGCAGACGGGUGAGUAACAUGUGGGUAUCUUCCCUUUGGUGAGGAAUAACACGAGGAAACUUGUGCUAAUACCUCAUAAGUCUUUACGGAGAAAGCUUUAUGCGCCGAAGGAUGAGCCUGCACUUGAUUAGUUUGUUGGUAGGGUAACGGCCUACCAAGACUGUGAUCAAUAGCUGAUCUGAGAGGAUGAUCAGCCACAUUGGGACUGAGACACGGCCCAAACUCCUACGGGAGGCAGCAGUAGGGAAUAUUGCACAAUGGAGGAAACUCUGAUGCAGCGAUGCCGCGUGAGUGAAGAAGGCCUUUGGGUUGUAAAGCUCUUUCGUCGGGGAAGAAAAUGACUGUACCCGAAUAAGAAGGUCCGGCUAACUUCGUGCCAGCAGCCGCGGUAAUACGAAGGGACCUAGCGUAGUUCGGAAUUACUGGGCUUAAAGAGUUCGUAGGUGGUUAAAAAAGUUGGUUGUGAAAUCCCGAAGCUUAACUUCGGAACUGCAAUCAAAACUUUUUAGCUAGAGUUUGAUAGAGGAAAGCAGAAUUUCUAGUGUAGAGGUGAAAUUCGUAGAUAUUAGAAAGAAUACCGAUUGCGAAGGCAGCUUUCUGGAUCAUUACUGACACUGAGGAACGAAAGCAUGGGUAGCGAAGAGGAUUAGAUACCCUCGUAGUCCAUGCUGUAAACGAUGUGUGUUAGACGUUGGAAAUUUAUUUUCAGUGUCGCAGCGAAAGCAGUAAACACACCGCCUGGGGAGUACGAC
rnacentral:rRNA from 1 species